GCCAGAUACAACACGGCAGCGUUUUGACAUGGCCUCAUUUAAUCACGUGACCUCCUCCGGUCAGUACGAGUCGGAAGUCUGGAAAUGCUCUGAUCUUUGCUUCUUAUUCUUUCACUCGGAAUUCAAGAGGUUUCUCUUCUGUUCAGGCAGAGUUGAUGAUGAUGGCGAUGAAGUGGAUGAUUUAGGGUAUGAUGCGAGGUUGGCCAGGCAAUGGAAGCAAAGGCGCAUUGCCUAUCAAGAUUUCAAGCUCAAUUAUGGUGGUAAAAUUAGCUCCAGUGAAGGUAAUUCUAAUGAGGAUCUUAAGAAAAUCCCUGAAACUAAUUUUAGAUUGAGGUUGAUGAUGAUGAUGAUGAAUCAAUCUCAUUGUAGUUAGUUUCAGGGAUGUUCUUAAGAUCAUGUUUGCAACCAUAGUUCUAGGAUGAUAGUGACAAUGGAGGUAAUGGUUGGUAGAUAACAGGUUAAAUUUUGUUGAUGCUCUAAAUAAUGAUGCAGAUCUUCAGAAGAGAGAUGAAAUUUACGACACUAAAGAAGUGGAAUAUGUGGAUGCUGACAAUAAGUACUUGGAAUUUUGGAUAGCUUAGAUUUAGAACCAUUUGUUGGUAGCGAUGUAUAUGUUUUUUUUUUUUUUAAUCUGAG
rnacentral:misc_RNA from 1 species